AUACUGCACAAUGGGGGAAACCCUGAUGCAGCGACGCCGCGUGAGUGAGGAAGUAUUUCGUUAUGUAAAGCUCUAUCAGCAGGGAAGAAAAUGACGGUACCUGACUAAGAAGCCCCGGCUAACUACGUGCCAGCAGCCGCGGUAAUACGUAGGGGGCAAGCGUUAUCCGGAAUUACUGGGUGUAAAGGGAGCGUAGACGGUGAUGUAAGUCUGGAGUGAAAGGCGGGGGCCCAACCCCCGGACUGCUCUGGAAACUAUGUGACUGGAGUGCAGGAGAGGUGAGCGGAAUUCCUAGUGUAGCGGUGAAAUGCGUAGAUAUCAGGAGGAACACCAGUGGCGAAGGCGGCUUACUGGACUGUAACUGACGUUGAGGCUCGAAAGCGUGGGGAGCAAACAGG
rnacentral:rRNA from 1 species